UGUCGGCGGAAAUAAUAGUGUACCUGCCAGCAUGAAGAUCAAACAAAGAAGGAGAAAGCAAAGUAAUAGUCUCUCGAGUACCCUGACUCAACACCAGGUUAUAAAUCAUCCGUCUACUAGCAUCUCUAUCCAUAAAAUCAUGGCGAACCAUACUGUCAUAAUCCAGAUAUCUCUCAGGGAGAAGCAUCUCUCCUUCCUCU
rnacentral:lncRNA from 1 species